UACGGAGGGUGCAAACGUUGUUCGGAAUUACUGGGCGUAAAGCGCGUGUAGGCUGCUUCUCAAGUCGGAUGUGAAAGCCCUGGGCUCAACCCAGGAAGUGCAUUCGAAACUGCAAAGCUGGAGUCCUGGAGAGGAAGGCGGAAUUCUCGGUGUAGAGGUGAAAUUCGUAGAUAUCGAGAGGAACACCGGUGGCGAAGGCGGCCUUCUGGACAGUGACUGACGCUGAGACGCGAAAGCGUGGGGAGCGAACAGG
rnacentral:rRNA from 1 species